GUAAAAGUCGUAACAAGGUUUCCGUAGGUGAACCUGCGGAAGGAUCAUUAUUGAAAUAAACCUGAUAAGUUGCUGCUGGUUCUCUAGGGAGCAUGUGCACACUUGUCAUCUUUGUAUCUUCACCUGUGCACCUUUUGUAGACCUGAGUAUCUCUCUGAAUGCUUUAGCACUCAGGAUUGAGGAUUGAUUCCAAGUCUUUUCUCRCAUUUUCAGGUCUAUGUUUCUUCAUAUACCCCAAUGUAUGUUCAUAGAAUGUAAUUAAUGGGCCUUUGUGCCUAUAAACCCAUACAACUUUCAGCAACGGAUCUCUUGGCUCUCGCAUCGAUGAAGAACGCAGCGAAAUGCGAUAAGUAAUGUGAAUUGCAGAAUUCAGUGAAUCAUCGAAUCUUUGAACGCACCUUGCGCUCCUUGGUAUUCUGAGGAGCAUGCCUGUUUGAGUGUCAUUAAUAUAUCAACCUUCUUUGGUUGGAUGUGGGGUGUGCUGGCCUCUUCAGGUCARCUCUCCUUAAAUGCAUUAGCGGACUACAUUUUGCCAACCGUUCAUUGGUGUGAUAAUUAUCUACGCUAUUGACGUGAAGCAACGUUCAGCUUCUAACAGUCCAUUGACUUGGACAAAUUUUUAUUAAUGUGACCUCAAAUCAGGUAGGACUACCCGCUGAACUUAAGCAUAUCAAUAAGCGGAGGAAAAGAAACUAACAAGGAUUCCCCUAGUAACUGCGAGUGAAGCGGGAAAAGCUCAAAUUUAAAAUCUGGCGGUCUUUGGCUGUCCGAGUUGUAAUCU
rnacentral:rRNA from 1 species